rnacentral:lncRNA from 1 species
CCUUCUUCAUUCUUCUCGCUCCAUUCUUCCUUCUCCUCGUCCAUAGGUGCUCGUGUCUCCAUGCUAGCCUCUUCACGAUCAUCACUUUGGUACCUAAGCAUGCAUAACACUUCCGUUUGAGGUAGGAGCCAACUCUCGUGUGAAUUUGAAUGGAGCUCGAAGAGGAAGGAGUUAACCUCGUUCUCGAUGGCGCGUGCACGUGCUCUUGUCAUUGGUCCUCUUGGUGCUUGUGGUGGUGAUGGAGUGUCCAUUGGAUGGACGAGGGAUGCUCCGCAUCACAAUGGGCAAGGCCGCAAGGGUGAAGGGGUGGCUGCCCCCAUGCGCCUCCCCUCUCUAUAUAUAGGCUAGGGGGCAGCGGAGGGCGUCCAAAACACUCUUAGGGCCGGCCACAUGGGAGAAAUCCCUUUAAACUUGGAGAUAACAUCUUAUCUCUAGAUUCAACCCUUUAAAUUUAGAGAUAAAACCUAUCUCUAGAUUUAAACGACACGUGCCUUGGGGAAUUGUGCGGCCAGCCCAUGUGGGCUGUAGCCCCACCCCUCGGUCCAUGUGGGCCCUUCCCGGGUCGUUGGGCCCCAUGGUGGAACCCCCAAAAUAUUCUAGAACCUUCCCGGUACUCUACCUAAAAUUCCUGAACAUUUCUGGAACCCUGAAUAUGACUUCCCAUAUACUCCCUCCGUCCGGAAAAGCUUGUCCCUCAAAUGGAUGUAUCUAGCACUAACUUGGUGCUAGAUACGUAGUGCUAGAUACAUCCAUUUGACGGACAAGCUUUUCCGGACGGAGGGAGUAUAAAUCUUUACCUCUGGACCAUUCCGGAGCUCCUCGUGAUGUCCUGGAUCCCAUUCGAGACUCCGAACUACUUUUGGACUUUCCACUAUUAAUAUCUCAACAUUACCCUAGCGCUACCGAACGUUAAGCGUGCGACCCUGCGGGUUCGAGAAUCAUGCAGACAUGACCGAGACACUUCUCCGAUCAAUAACCAAUAGCGGAACCUAGAUGCCCAUAUUGGUUCCUACAUAUUCAACGAAGAUCUUCAUCCGUUGUACCAUGAUGUCGAGGAUUCAGAUAAUCCCGUAUGCAAUUCCCUUUGUCCGGCGAUAUGUUACUUGCUCGAGAUUCGAUCGUUGGUAUAUUCAUACCUAGUUCAAUCUUGUUAUUGGCAAGUCUUUUUACUCGUUCCAUAAUACAAGAUCCCAUGACUAAACUCAUUAGUCACAUGAAGCUUCUUGUGAUGUUGUAUUACCGAGAGGGCCCAAAGAUAUCUCUCCGUCACACGGAGCUACAAAUCCCGGUCUCGAUCCAUGCAACCCAAUAGACACCUUCGGAGAUACCUGUAGAGCACCUUUAUGAUCACCCAGUUACGAAGUGACGUUUGAUAGCACACAAAGUAUUCCUCAGGUAUCCAGGAGUGGCAUGAUUCCAUGGUCUGAGCAACUGAUACUUGACAUGAAGAAAGCUAUAGCAAAUAACAACUAUCUUUUGCCAAGCUUACGGUUGGGUCCGUCCAUCACAUCAUUCUCCUAAUGAUGUGAUCCCGUUAUAGCAAAUAACAACUAUCUUUUGCUAAGCUUACGGUUGGGUCCGUCCAUCACAUCAUUCUACUAUGGUUAGGAAACAUUAACCAUCUUUGAUCAACGAGCUAGUCCAGUAGAGGCCUAUUAGGGACAUGGUGUUGUUUAUGUAUUUACACAUGUAUAUAAGUUUCCGGUCAGUACAAUUCUAGCAUGAAUAAUAAUACAAGUGCUCGUCCCGGGCACGGCGAGGCGCAGGGCGGUGACUGCCGCGGCUAGAUGCAGAGCGCAACGAGGAGCUACCUGAGAGCACGGGUGUGCGCGCGGGUGCUCAAGGCGCGACGAGUGCGGACGGAUCCGGAGCGGGGUGCACAGGCAGCCACGGUAAUCACAGCAAAGAGAACGAACUCCUCUGGAACACCGAGAGCACAGGAAAGGUACGGACAAAGCGAUGCCUACGGUGAUCUAUUGACAAUGAGAAGGAGCAGGAAGGAAGGCACGGCUCACCUAGCGUUUAACGGACAUGGAUGAGUGGCCGGGGAGGCGACGGAGGGUCGACUCGAGCUGCUAACUGAGGCGGCGUUCGCUGUUGCGAAGCAGAGGAAGCAGUGGAGGUGGCCGUCGAUGUAGGACUUGGCGUUCCCUUGGUGAUGUAGUGGAAGUAGAGGAAGUAGGGGAAGAAGAGGCGGCUCCUGGACACGCUCAAGCUCCCUGGGCUUGCCGUCGGACGCGUCGGUGACGUGCAUGGGCUCUCUCUCACUCACGGUUCUCCUAGGGGAAGGGGAACAGCGGCAGGGGAGAGCCCCCUUGGGUGGCGGCGGAGAUGGGGAAAACCUAGGGGAGUAGGUGCAGACGCCGAGGACUUAUAGGAGGGGUUAAACGACGCGCCUUGGUGUUCGUGACGGGCUCAUGGCGUUGAGCCGAAGCUCCUUGCCUGGAGGUAGGAGACGGCGACGGGAGGGAGUAGGUGACCGUGAGGGAGAGG